GCUAACCUCACUUUGAUAUGUCAAAUGGGAUCCCAAUCAUGUGACAUCAUUGUAAGCAGCAAUAAACUGUUUAUUUAACAAUAUGUUUGCCUCUUGAAUUAUGUUAUUACAUCUCAUUCAGGGCCCUAGUGAGGCCUUGGGGAGGAGAUUGAGGGUCCACGCAGGCGUAAAAAACAUAGCUGAAAUUUCUGAGAACUGCGGGCGACAACUAAGACAAGGAAAAACAGAAUUUUUUGGAGACAUUCACCAAAACAUCAUUAUUUUGAAUUACUUUAGCUGCUAGCUGCUUUAGUCGCAAGACUCACAAAAUAUAAUUUGUUUUGUGGAUAAGAAAAAAAUAUUUUAACAUUGCAAUAUUUUAUCCAUAAAUAAUAUUUUACAUGGUAAAUUUAAA